GAGGGGUAGGGCCAACCGCCUGGACGCCCCAAGGGCAGGCGCAGAUCACCGAGCCAUGGAUUGCACUUUCGAAGACAUGCUUCAGCUUAUCAACAACCAAGACAGUGACUUCCCUGGCCUGUUUGACCCACCCUAUGCUGGGAGUGGGGCAGGGGGCACAGACCCUGCCAGCCCCGAUACCAGCUCCCCAGGCAGCUUGUCUCCACCUCCUGCCACAUUGAGCUCCUCUCUUGAAGCCUUCCUGAGCGGGCCACAGGCAGCGCCCUCACCCCUGUCCCCUCCCCAGCCUGCACCCACUCCAUUGAAGAUGUACCCGUCCGUGCCCACUUUCUCCCCUGGGCCUGGUAUCAAGGAAGAGUCAGUGCCACUGAGCAUCCUGCAGACCCCCACCCCACAGCCCCUGCCAGGGGCCCUCCUGCCACAGAGCUUCCCAGCCCCAGCCCCACCGCAGUUCAGCUCCACCCCUGUGUUAGGCUACCCCAGCCCUCCGGGAGGCUUCUCUACAGGUAAGGGGGAUGUGUGGCGGGAGGGGACACCCGGGGUGGGGCUUCCAGGAGCACAGGAAGAAGCUUCUGCUGUGAUGUGAGUAGAGGUCUGUGCAGGCUUUAGAAACUGGGGCUCCACUCGGCUGCUUGAGAUGCCCUGUUACUAGCAGUCCUGGUGUGCUUGUUGCUGGGGUAGGCGCAACCUCGCACUGGAGGCCUGGCUUGAAGCCAGUGCAUUUGCAUCAGAGCCCAGGCAGGGACUGUCCAUAGGAAGCCACAUGGGGCAAUGACUCAUCCAAGGCCAGUCGGUGAUAGAGACCUGAAGAGCAGGUUGAAAGUGGGAGAGGGAGGUCUGUGUCUGCAGCCCCAUGCUUUAUUUCUGCAGGAAGCCCUCCCGGGAGCACUCAGCAGCCGCUGCCUGGCCUGCCACUGGCUUCCCCGCCAGGGGUCCCGCCCAUCUCCUUGCACACCCAGGUCCAGAGUGUGGUCCCCCAGCAGCUACUGACAGUCACAGCUGCCCCCACGGCAGCCCCUGUAACGACCACUGUGACCUCGCAGAUCCAGCAGGUCCCGGUCCUGCUGCAGCCCCACUUCAUCAAGGCAGACUCGCUGCUUCUGACAGCCAUGAAGACAGACGGAGCCACUGUGAAGGCGGCAGGUCUCAGUCCCCUGGUCUCCGGCACCACUGUGCAGACAGGGCCUUUGCCGACCCUGGUGAGUGGCGGAACCAUCUUGGCAACAGUCCCACUGGUCGUAGAUGCGGAGAAGCUGCCUAUCAACCGGCUCGCAGCUGGCAGCAAGGCCCCGGCCUCUGCCCAGAGCCGUGGAGAGAAGCGCACAGCCCACAACGCCAUUGAGAAGCGCUACCGCUCCUCCAUCAAUGACAAAAUCAUUGAGCUCAAGGAUCUGGUGGUGGGCACUGAGGCAAAGGUGUGGAGAGGCCUG
rnacentral:lncRNA from 1 species